AUCUUCAGGGCAGGGUGCGAUUCCCUACCGGUGGUACAGCCCACGAGCCGUAAGGCAUGAUUCGGUGAAACUCCGAAGCCGACAGUACAGUCUGGAUGAAAGAAGAU
rnacentral:ncRNA from 2 species